rnacentral:ncRNA from 1 species
GGUUGGCAGUAAUCACUGUUUCAAGUAUUGAGCUUCAGGGUGGAGAGCU